CCGACAGCGACAUCGGCCUGGUGGCGUACCCUAUGUGGAUAACGUGGAGGACAAGAUGGGGGAGCUGGAGGAGCAGGACCCCCCGGAGAGGGAGCAGCAGAGGCGGACGCAAUCCUGCCGCAGCCGCAGCCCGUCCUGUUCGUCCUCCGAUUACAAUGAGGAGACGGAGCAGGAGAUGGACAUGGACGUACAGGACAUGAGCUGGACGGCUGAGAAUUAAUUUUUGUUGUUGUUGUUAAAGCUCUGGAUUUUGUUGCAAAUUUCUACAGUUUUAAUUAAAGAAAAUAGUUGUACUUAUGUGAAUGGAUUCAUUUUACAUUUUUGUAACAUGAUAAACAAGAUUACAUCUCUAGGGUCAAAGGUAGUUUAAUGCUAGCUACGUCAUCAAGGGCUUCGCUUCCAAUUUUUUCUGAUAACGGUUGUUUUAAACUCCGAAGCUUUUUCACUCCAACUGCAAGUCCAGCUCUGUCGCCGUGCUGUGGAGUUAAGCGACUUCAGCUCUUCGCAAGACAGAGUGCCUACUGCUGGAGAACGUCGUCCACCACUUCUCCUUCCCCUGCAUCCUGGACCUGAAGAUGGGAACCGGCAGCACGGCGACGACGCCUCUGAGGAGAAGGCAGCCCGGCAGAUAAAGAAAUGCGAACAGAGCACUUCGGCGAAGCUGGGCGUCAGAAUGUGUGGCAUGCAGCAGGAAUUGCAGGAGCCAUGUGUCUCCCUCCCCCCAACAGCAUGGACAGUAAGCAACAGGGGCCGGUGACAGGGGGAGUGGCUUUACCAAACCCACAAGAUGGAGGCGUUUUUCUGGAGCCCUUCAUACACCAGUUGGGGGGGUCACACCAGCAUGGUGCAGUACGAUGACCACACCGUGUGUAAGCCUAUGAUCAGCAGAGAGCACCACUUCUGAGUCUCUGCCUCCUAAGAUGAAGGAGUUCAGCCCGAGUAUAAAGCUCCAUGCUUCCGUGGCACCCACUGUUCGGACAACGAAGCCAGCAUCAUGGAUGACGUCGGCAACCAUGGGAAAAUAGUUAAUAAACUCAUUAUUGUCGAUUAAUGGUUCAUUAGAUGAUGAACCAUUAAUCCAGUGAAUUGAGUAAUAAACUAGGGGUGCUCACACUUUUUCCUAAAAUGACCAACCCAAAGCGAUCUACUUAAAAAAUGCAAAACCAUUUGACGGACAUGAGCACAACACAUUUAUUUAGAAAUAUAUUGAGAAUUCUUUAUAUGUUUUACUCCGGGUCGACCCGGGUCCAUUUAAUAAUGGCGUAUUAAGUUUUGUUGUGCUGCUUUUGACCAAACAAGGCCUGAGUUAAUUCCCGCUCUCCGGGUAAACUCAACCCACGCUCGCCACAGUUGUUCUGGUCUUCUCAAACUUUGCCAGUUUUCUAGCUGUUCUGCUGAGGUAGUGACAUCAAUUUGUGACAUCACGCAAAUUGACAUCAUAAAGCUUUGAUGUUUGGAGCUUUGUGUAUGACAAAGCUGAACUCUUGAAUUCUAAGUCACAUCCAUUUCAGAAGAGAGAUAGAUAGAAGUAGCAGGAUUACCUCCUAACAAGAGACUGAAAACAAGUUUCCAAGAUAAACAGGAUCCCAACAAAAGAAUUACCUUACAUUCAGAAAUUUGGGAUACAAAUAAGUCUGAACUCAAAGAAAAACAUGGAACAGCGUUUGGAUUUGUUAAGAAAAAGCGAAUCAACAAAAAGUCCGAGAAUUAACGCCUCAUCUUCUGAUUCUGGGACCUACAGAGAUAAAGCAGUUCCACGACGUCAUGAAACAAAUCAACAUGAUGUCCACUGUCUUGGACCAAAUAAACAGCGCCUUGAGGUAGGGAAACGCCGCCUUGGAAGAGAAAAAGAGUGCCCUGGAGCAGAAUAACACCACCCUGAAGCAGAAAAACACCGCCUUGGAGCAGAAAACACCGCCUUGGAAGAGGAAAAGAGCACCUUGGAGCA